UACGAAGGGUGCAAGCGUUAAUCGGAAUUACUGGGCGUAAAGCGCGCGCAGGCGGCCCGCGAGGUGUCACGUGAAAGCCCCGGGCUCAACCCGGGAGGGUCGUGGCAAACCGGCGGGCUUGAGGCCGGUAGAGGUGGGUGGAACUCCUGGUGGAGUGGUGAAAUGCGCAGAUAUCAGGAGGAACACCAAUAGCGAAGGCAGCUCGCUGGGACGUGACUGACACUAAGGCGCGAAAGCGUGGGGAGCGAACAGG
rnacentral:rRNA from 1 species